rnacentral:rRNA from 1 species
UACGUAGGGUGCAAGCGUUGUCCGGAAUUAUUGGGCGUAAAGAGCGUGUAGGCGGCCCGGUUAGUCCGCUGUGAAAGUCCAGGGCUCAACCCUGGAAUGCCGGUGGAUACUGUCGGGCUAGAGUCCGGAAGGGGCGAGUGGAAUUCCCGGUGUAGCGGUGAAAUGCGUAGAGAUCAUGAGGAAGACCAGUGGCGAAGGCGGGUCUCUGGACAGUUCCUGACACUGAGACACGAAGGCCAGGGGAGCAAACGGG